CGGGGUCGGCGAGUGCUUUCGGAAUGUCUCCUUGAGGAUGAGCUCUAGGUACUUGAACUUGUCGAGGUCGGCACCUUCCGCUCUGUGCUGGUUUGGUCCGACCACGGCUCUCACCUCCUCCUGCGCUUUCUUCAUGACCCUCGGGUUCCUUAUCAGCUCCGAGAAUGCCCAUCCUACCGUCACUGCGCUUGUGUCGAUCGCCCCCACAAACAAGUUCUGCAAGCGUAUCGAAACCAAAUAACUCGUAAAAUUACUUAAAACUAUUCGAAAUGUGACAUUAUACUAAUGAAAUUAGAGGAUAUGAGUGUACCAUGAGAACAGCCUUGAGAUGGUCUUUGGUGAUCUGAAACGACGCCGUCUGGUCCUUCAUGAGCCCAACCAAAACAUCAACAACAUCCUCAUGCUCAGGCUUCUUCCUGUUAGGGUCUUGGUGUAUAGCGAUCACCUUCUCGAAGUAAUUGUCGAGUUUCUUAAACGUCUUCUGCCAUCUCGCCGUCGAUCCGGUCAGCCAGUCAAUCACUUUACCGGCCCUCGGUAAGAAAUCCUCCGCGUGGAACCCGUUCAACAUGUCCAUCGCCUCCUCGAGCACCUAAUGAACCAUUAGCGUAACCGAGGAAUUAUAUCAGUUCGGUGUUCGUAACAAAUAAACACUACAAAUAAGAAAAAAGAUCAAUAGUCGCAGGAAAUGCUUUAGUUAUCGAAAAUAAGCAUUUAGUGACGACAAAUAGGUAUUAGUGACAGGAAAUUCUGUAACUAUUAAAUCUAUUUUAGUUACAGGAUCUCCGGUCCUUAGCUCUCUGUGUUGUGACUAAUUCCAUUAAUUCAGUAGUUAAAUAACCUGUCACUAAAACAUUUCCCAUGACCAUCUAUCUCUUCUUUCUUGCAGUGAAAUAUUAAAAUAGUUGUAAAUUUAUUAUUACAUAGCUAAUGAUUAUUGAUUAAUGUUUUCAAUAGUAUAUUUUACAAAUAUUAAAAAUUUAACUGUCAGCCAGUCAAAUAUAUAGGUUGAUUUAGUAUCAAUUAUUGAGUUUGUUUGAAACAGUUGAUCGAUAAAUAGUUCUAUUUCGUUCAAGUGAGGUCUAAAAUUCGAAAAAUGAGAGUUAACG
rnacentral:lncRNA from 1 species